rnacentral:rRNA from 1 species
CCCCUAGACGUUCUGGGCUGCACGCGCGCUACAAUAAUACGCACAGCGAGUAUCACCGAGCUCGAAAGGGCAAGGUAAACAAUAGAAAAGGUACUGUAAUGGUUAUAGAUCCUUGUAAUUAUUGAUCUUCAACGAGGAAUUCCUAGUAAGUAUGUGUCAUCAUCACGCACUGAUUACGUCCCUGCCCUUUGUACACACCGCCCGUCGCUCCUACCGAUUGGGUGAGCCGAUGAAACUCUCGGAUGUAGGCUAUUCAUAGCCCGCAGAAGAGAUUUGAAUCGUNGNGCUUAANGGAAGGAGAANUCGUANCA